rnacentral:rRNA from 1 species
CGCCUGGGGAGUGCGGCCGCAAGGUUAAAACUCAAAUGAAUUGACGGGGGCCCGCACAAGCGGUGGAGCAUGUGGUUUAAUUCGACGCAACGCGAAGAACCUUACCUGGCCUUGACAUCCAGAGAACUUUCCAGAGAUGGAUUGGUGCCUUCGGGGACUCUGAGACAGGUGCUGCAUGGCCGUCGUCAGCUCGUGUCGUGAGAUGUUGGGUUAAGUCCCGUAACGAGCGCAACCCCUAUCCCUGGUUGCUAGCAGGUAAUGCUGAGAACUCCAGGGAGACUGCCGGUGACAAACCGGAGGAAGGUGGGGAUGACGUCAGGUCAUCAUGGCCCUUACGGCCAGGGCUACACACGUGCUACGAUGGCGCGUACAGAGGGCUGCCAACUCGCGAGAGUGAGCCAAUCCCUUAAAACGCGUCGUAGUCCGGAUCGGAGUCUGCAACUCGACUCCGUGAAGUCGGAAUCGCUAGUAAUCGCGAAUCAGAAUGUCGCGGUGAAUACGUUCCCGGGCCUUGUACACACCGCCCGUCACACCAUGGGAGUGGAUUGCACCAGAAGUAGUUAGUCUAACCUUCGGGAGGACGAUUACCACGGUGUGGUUCAUGACUGGGGUGAAGUCGUAACAAGGUAACCGUA